GGCAAAGGCAAAUUACUUACUCCAAGCAGAAUUGAUAGACCUGAGCAAAAAGAAAGAGCCCCCACUUCCCCAUUUCUCAGUGCUAAAAUAAAGGGAUGUUUAAUGUAAAAAAGCAUACACCCCAGCAAAUUACAAUGGAUAUGUUUAAAAAAUAGCAAUGAUUGCCACCCAACAACCUGCCUCCCCCUCCCCCCUCCCCCCUCCCCCCUCCCCAAGGUCACUUCUUUUCUAUUUAUUUUGUCCUGGGAAGCAAUUCCUGUUUCUGCUCAGGUCUGUUACCAGACAAACAGCUUCCCAGCAGAGCCCUACUGAGGAAGUUACUUAUUUAGAACAAUGUGCCCAGCCAUGAGAUUAACAACAAGAUACUAGAUUGACUUGCCUCCUAAGAGGUGAUUGGGUGCCUCGUUCUAAUAUUUAGGCAAGUGACCUUCUCAGUGGGAUCUGCUGUGAAGCUGCUUGGCUGGGAAAAUAACUUUGGAGGAGGAGAAGAAACAAAAACAGUGCUGAUUUGAAUUUGGGACGUGGAUAGCAAUGGAAUUUCAGUACUAUAUACUACAGGUAGCUGUAUGGAGCAACAACUGGAGAUGGAGCCUAAAAGGCUGGAAGGGACACCAGCAGAGGGUGAGAAUAGGAAACAAAUCAGGCGGCUCUCACUGCAGCUUGGGUUCAUGAUUCUGCAGUGGAUAGUCUUGCUCAUCUGCCUUGUCCUCGUUGGUUUGUGUUACUUUAAGAGCCCAGGUCCACAGACACAAUGGAUAUUUAUCAAGAAUAGCAAUCAAUCUAUCAUCUGCAAGAAAGCAAUUGGAAUUAAAAAGAAGGAUGGAACAAUGAAUGUCAAUGAUUUGAAAUGCUCCAUCCCAAUCCACUGUGAUGGUUUCUACCUGGUUUUCUUGGAGGGAAUCAUCAGACUGAAGGGAGCAAAUGACUCUCUGAUGCUUGCCGUCUACCAUCAGCCUGGAGAGAAGUUCUUGACUAUUACGUCCCAUGGCCUGAAGACAGAAGUGAAAGAAGUCAUAGUGCACGAGUUUCGUUUUGAAGAUGAAAUCUUUUUAAAAUAUAAUGAUUCUAAUUAUGACACCUCCAAACAGGACCUGACACUGAGCCUCAUCAUGUUAACUCCUCCUUCAUAUUGCUAUUCCAAAAUGUAGUAAGCAAUACUGUGAAUUCAUAGUGCACUUAGACAAUGCUCUACAAUAAGUUACUGAUUCUAAAAUAAUCUUAUUACUUGAUGUGUCUUAGAAAAAAAAAUCUCUGAGUUAAUUUUAUAAAUCAGAGAAUGAACCAUGAAAUGUCUGCAGUUUGUCUGUUUCUAUUUUCUUUCCUUCAUGUCAUUUGUAUGAGGUUACUUCUCUCUUUGCUGAAAUCAAGCUCAUUUCCUGGUCUAAAAAACUGUGUGGGUGUGAAAAUAAAAUAGUGCUCUCUUUCCUACAAAGUGGCCUGGCUGAAGUGACAGAAAAUAUUUUGAGUACGUUUUAAGGGACGCCAUGACAGAAAUAUAGAAUUAUUGUUUGGGAUAAAAUAGCAAAAGCUCCCUAUAGCUAGACUAAAUGCAGUUGAGAUAUUUUCCACUUUGCUAUGAGCGCUCAUGUUUUUUUUUAUCUACAGCAGUUGUUCCCAACCUUUUCUUUCUUUUUUUUUGACCAGGGACCACUUUGAUCAGGGACAACUCUCCAAUGUUAGUACCAAAAGGGUUACGAAUCAGUUUUUGGUCAACUUUAGAUUCGGUUUGGUUAUUUGGGGUGCUGAUUCAGAAAAUUGUAUUGGAUAGAUCACAUCAGUUCUAGUUUCUGAUACAGAACAUAUGCCAUCUAGUAGUCGUCACCUGCUCUCCCACAGAAAACCACAUUUAAUAAUCUAGAGCUGAUGUGGUCUAUCCACUGCAAUUUUCUGAAUCAGCACCCCAAAUAACCCCAGGAACAGGCCUAAAAAUGAAGACACCAAGGCACCUCCACUUCCAGGUGACACAUGGACUAGCUCUGCUCAGGGGGAGGGAGGGAGGAGGAGAAGCAGCAGUCAGGAGGCUUGUUAUUGCACCUUUCGUAUGUAUUCAGCCACUCCCCUCCUGACAUCCCCUUUGCCUCGGAACUAUAAGAGAGUUUCAUCAGACCAGUCACUCUCAUUGAACAGUGUAGUAACGGUGAGACCACGGACCAUAUUUUAGUUUUUAGGGACCACUGGUUGGGAACCAGUGAUCUACAGGAUGUUUAAAAAUUGUACCCCCAAUUUCCAAGCAGUAUAUUUAAUGAUGGCAACACAUUACAACAUAUUACAGCAUGGAGGAUUUUACUGGAAAAUGUUUAACUUACUCAUUUGAUUACCCAUGCCCACAGAUUUUGUAAGCCUCACAUAUGAAGCCAUGUAGAUCAACUUCGUAUUAUGGACUUUCUGCUUUUAAUGUUGUGAAAUUUUGGUCUUAAUGUUAACACUUUUAUUUUUUUUUUAAAUACCCUCUGUUUUUACUGUUUUAAUGAUAGAAAGUUUUACACUUUUGGUCUGUGACUGUAACGAUAGAAUUAAUUCAAUUACAC
rnacentral:lncRNA from 11 species